rnacentral:rRNA from 1 species
GUGCCAGCCGCGCGGUAAUACGGAGGGUGCAAGCGUUAAUCGGAAUUACUGGGCGUAAAGCGCGCGUAGGCGGCUUGUUAAGCUGGAUGUGAAAGCCCCGGGCUCAACCUGGGAAUUGCAUUCAGAACUGGCAGGCUAGAGUACGGUAGAGGUGAGUGGAAUUUCCUGUGUAGCGGUGAAAUGCGUAGAUAUAGGAAGGAACACCAGUGGCGAAGGCGGCUCACUGGACCGAUACUGACGCUGAGGUGCGAAAGCGUGGGGAGCAAACAGGAUUAGAAACCCUAGUAGUCC